rnacentral:lncRNA from 1 species
CUCAUCCUCUCUGUCCUUCUAUCCCUCUAUCUAAUGUGUCUCUCUAUGAGGCUGUUCCAUCUCUCUCAUCCUCUCUGUCCUUCUAUCCCUCUAUCUAAUGUGUCUCUCUAUGAGGCUGUUCCAUCUCUCUCAUCCUCUCUGUCCUUCUAUCCCUCUAUCUAAUGUGUCUCUCUGAGGCUGUUCCAUCUCUCUCAUCCUCUCUGUCCUUCUAUCCCUCUAUCUAAUGUGUCUCUCUAUGAGGCUGUUCCAUCUCUCUCAUCCUCUCUGUCCUUCUAUCCCUCUAUCUAAUGUGUCUCUCUAUGAGGCUGUUCCAUCUCUCUCAUCCUCUCUGUCCUUCUAUCUAAUGUGUCUCUCUAUGAGGCUGUUCCAUCUCUCUCAUCCUCUCUGUCCUUCUAUCCCUCUAUCUAAUGUGUCUCUCUAUGAGGCUGUUCCAUCUCUCUCAUCCUCUCUGUCCUUCUAUCCCUCUAUCUAAUGUGU